GAGGGAAUCGGGGUGGAGUCGAAGGAGAGAAACAAGACUGCGGGAGCACACGCGGGCCGGAGCGACCCUCCGGGGGGCCCCCUCUGGACGAGCGGCUGAGCUGCCCCCCGCGGGACUCGCUCCGACGCACGGAACCCCUGCCGCCGUGCAGCCGAGGCUGCGCACCCACUGCGGGUCAGACGCUUCUGUGCGGUAACACCUUCUGUCCGAGGGACCCCAACAUGGCAACCUCCGACCCGUAAACUGGUACACACCGACCGUCAGGUGCUCCACCCUUCGUGGCCACGCCCCCGCCCGCCCGCAAGUUUCCCGCGGCCCACCCUAGGCUCGCCCCCCCACCUGCCCCCGCCGUCUCCGAGGCCCCUCCUCGAUGCCCGCCUCCUGAGCGCCUUGAUACGCGGCUCUUACGCCCUCUACCGGCCGGAUUCGCCCAUCCCAUGGAGUCCAGGACAGGCUGAGCACAGAGGGAACUUGCAUCCCCUGCACCACAGCUGUGCGCCAGGCGCAUCGGCGAGCUCGUGUAAGCCCCACCACAACCUGGACAGAUGUUUUUAUUGGGCGCCGACUCUACAUCACCACUGUGCAAAUUGCCGCAUCUCAUUUACUCUUCACAAUUUCCACCUCUGCUUUACAGACGAGGAAGCUGAGGCUUGGCAAAGUUAGCAAGAGGUUCUUUCUUGAAUGAAAAAGUCAGUGACCACGGUGGCCCAGGUGGGCACAAGGCUGACAGGGCCUGGGGCAGCCUCGGGGCUGGGGAACCAUGGGAGAGAGAGAACAGGGGCCCAGAGUGUCCCAGGGAGGGGGCAGCCCCUGACGUAGAAGGAGAGGCCAUGGUGCCAGCUCUCCAAGUCUAUGACCAUGGGCCACAGCACCUGCCACCCAGGGACCUGGAGGAUCCAAGCCCCUUCCAAUACCCCCUCUUCACUGGAGCUAGUGUGAGAGGGUCUCUGUUCCUUGCCUGGACCCCUCAUUUUCGUCUUUUUUUGCUUUGUUUUGUUUUGAAUCUCUUUUCAAUCUCUUUGAAGCUCUCUGUAGAGCUAAGCCUGUUUGAUUCCCCUUCAAGCAAGAACCUGCUGUUUACCUGAAAGGAGUGCAAUUGGCUGACAGCCUCUAUUGGUGACCUCAGGACCCACCCAUCCUCACAGAGAACCAGGCUCCAGUCCUCUGGGGGAAGAGGUGGCCCAGGUCCAGCUAUCCAGCCUGUCCUGCAAGCAGUCAUUGUUCUCCUCCACAGUUCCUCUCACCCAAUUCCCAGACCCUCUCUCAUGAUGAUGGGCUGCCUCCUGUUCUUCCAUUGGGAGAUCCCCUCCUUCCCCUCCUCAAGUCUUGACAAUCUGGGAGUGAUGGACCUGUGACCUAGGCCGGCCAGUGAGAGAAGAGUGGGCUCAGGCCCUGCAACUGGCUCAGGGUUGGAUAGGUGACCUUCGCCAGGUGCCUCAAUUUUGGAGAUUUUGCUGGAAUACUGGGAAGGAGGCAGGUUUUCCAUUGGGUUUGCAAAGCUGGUAGGAAGUGAGCCUGGAGCUUCUAGAGCCAGGUGAACUCUAUGCCAGAAACUGUCCUAUUCACUGAUGAUACUGUCACCAAGAAGGAAACUGGGCAAAAUAAAGCCAAGGGAAGGGACA
rnacentral:lncRNA from 1 species